rnacentral:tRNA from 2 species
GCCUGUGUAGCUCAACCGGAUAGAGUAUAAAACUCUUAAUCUUGGGGUUGCGGGUUCGAGUCCCGUCACUUGCU